GGCUACGGCCAUAUCACGAUGAAAGCACCUCAUCCCGUCCGAUUUGAGAAGUUAAGCAUCGUCGAGCCACAUCAGUACUGAGGUUGGAGACAACUUGGGAACCUGUGGUGCUGUAGUCU
rfam:Naegleria gruberi genomic scaffold NAEGRscaffold_14, whole genome shotgun sequence.